CUUUGCAGGAGUCCAUUACCGAUCUUCUGGACCUGGCAGCCAAAGACUGAUGAGGCCCUAGUUCCUCAGCCCCCCAUCUCAACCAUAAUCAUCACUAUGAAGGAGCCCAGGGUAAUGAGUACAUUAGCUGAAAGUUAAAUUCCAGCCAACACAGAGUCACACACCAUGCUCAGACGGGACAUGUGCUUCCAGAUGGAAUCCCUUGGCAUUCACAAGUACAAUUGAUGGUCCUUUUAAUAAGAUGAUGCUAUACAGCAGUCCCUUCUGCAUGAAAUAACGACUUCGGCUAAGCCUGAGCACCAAACAUAGUCACAAUUGGGCUUGUUGACGGUUGUGCUCAUUCAUUAAAGGAGUGCCAAGCAGGGUCGCUGGACCCUCA